CCGUGUUGUACUGCGAUGUGUCCCUGACGUCGACAUAGAUCCGGUCGUGGACCCCUCGCCAUCAUGACGGUCACUGAAGCGACGGUCGCUCGCGUGGUCACCGAAGCUGUCGCUGAAAGUGGGGGAGGGGAACCUCCGGCAAAGGUGGAGGAGCUGAUCCUGCGGGUGGAGGAGCUUGAGGCGGCGACGGUAUGGCUAGGGGGGAAGGAGGCCGCAGAGGAGACGGCGCGCAGGCUGCGGUAGGGAGGUCGGUGGCGGUGGCGGCGCAGAGGGGAGCGAGCGAGGGGACGG
rnacentral:lncRNA from 1 species